rnacentral:lncRNA from 1 species
GCUACAGAUGUUGAAACACGAACUAAUCUUGUGGCUGAUAAAUGAAUUUUGAAGUGUCUAUGGAAAUGUGAAUAAAGGCAAUCCAUGAAUAGGUCAACUUCUUCCUGGGUAACCUCCCCAGGUGUUUUGUGGACACUGUCCCAUAGAGCUUUUGCAUCCUCUGGAUGUAUUGCGAAAGAAAUGUCCAGACUUUGAGGGCUACAGGGUACAGACCAAAGAAAUUCAGUAGUAGCCACAUAAUGGUCCAUUUUGCAUGCAGUCCACAUGGCAGCCAUCCAGGAAAGAUUAAAUGCAUUGAUUGCUAAAGGACUGAAAUAACAGUCAAAGGUUUUCUGAAACCAAGUUCCAUUUACCUUCUCUAUUCUCAGAUGGCAAUUGAGAUUUUGA